UCCACGGAAGUUUUCAGAGAUGAGAAUGUGCCUUCGGGAACCGUGAGACAGGUGCUGCAUGGCUGUCGUCAGCUCGUGUUGUGAAAUGUUGGGUUAAGUCCCGCAACGAGCGCAACCCUUAUCCUUUGUUGCCAGCGGUCCGGCCGGGAACUCAAAGGAGACUGCCAGUGAUAAACUGGAGGAAGGUGGGGAUGACGUCAAGUCAUCAUGGCCCUUACGACCAGGGCUACACACGUGCUACAAUGGCGCAUACAAAGAGAAGCGACCUCGCGAGAGCAAGCGGACCUCAUAAAGUGCGUCGUAGUCCGGAUUGGAGUCUGCAACUCGACUCCAUGAAGUCGGAAUCGCUAGUAAUCGUGGAUCAGAAUGCCACGGUGAAUACGUUCCCGGGCCUUGUACACACCGCCCGUCACACCAUGGGAGUGGGUUGCAAAAGAAGUAGGUAGCUUAACCUUCGGGAGGGCGCUUACCACUUUGUGAUUCAUGACUGGGGUGAAGUCGUAACAAGGUAGGCGUAGAUGA
rnacentral:rRNA from 1 species